AAAUCAGCCAAUUAAUUUGUCUCUUAUAAUGUUUCUGCAGAAAUUAAGAAAAAGCUGCCAAUAGUAAUGCCAUAUUACAGGCCUUGAGGACAACAGCAGUCAUUAAGGUCCCUGAAAAUGGCUACAAUA
ensembl:snoRNA